rnacentral:rRNA from 1 species
GAUGAACGCUGGCGGCGUGCCUAAUACAUGCAAGUCGAGCGAACAGACGAGGAGCUUGCUCCUCUGACGUUAGCGGCGGACGGGUGAGUAACACGUGGAUAACCUACCUAUAAGACUGGGAUAACUUCGGGAAACCGGUGCUAAUACCGGAUAAUAUAUUCAACCGCAUGGUUCAAUAGUGAAAGAUGGUUUUGCUGUCACUUAUAGAUGGAUCCGCGCCGCAUUAGCUAGUUGGUAAGGUAACGGCUUACCAAGGCAACGAUGCGUAGCCGACCUGAGAGGGUGAUCGGCCACACUGGAACUGAGACACGGUCCAGACUCCGACGGGAGGCAGCAGUAGGGAAUCUUCCGCAAUGGGCGAAAGCUUGACGGAGCAACGCCGCGUGAGUGAUGAAGGUCUUCGGAUCGUAAAACUCUGUUAUUAGGGAAGAACAAAUGUGUAAGUAACUAUGCACGUCUUGACGGUACCUAAUCAGAAAGCCACGGCUAACUACGUG